rnacentral:rRNA from 1 species
GACGAACGCUGGCGGCGUGCUUAACACAUGCAAGUCGAACGGUAAGGCCCUUCGUGGUACACGUGUUGCGAACGGGAGAGUAACGCGUGAAUAACCUGCCCUUCCCCCUGGCUUAACAGUUGGAAACGGCAGCUAAUACCGAUUAUUCAGCUCCUCCCGCGUGGUGGGGGGUGGGAAGUUUUGGUGGUGGAGGAUGGGCUCGCGUCGUAUCAGCUUGUUGGUGGGGUGAUGGCCUACCAAGGCGUCGACGGGUAGCCGGCCUGAGAGGGCGACCGGCCACAUUGGGACUGAGAUACGGCCCAAACUCCUACGGGAGGCAGCAGUGGGGAAUAUUGCACAAUGGGCGGAAGCCUGAUGCAGCAACGCCGCGUGCGGGAUGACGGCCUUCGGGUUGUAAACCGCUUUCAGCAGGGACGAAGCGCAAGUGACGGUACCUGCAGAAGAAGCACCGGCUAACUACGUG